UUUGAUCAUGGCUCAGGACGAACGCUGGCGGCGUGCCUAAUACAUGCAAGUCGAGCGGACCGACGGGAGCUUGCUCCCUUAGGUCAGCGGCGGACGGGUGAGUAACACGUGGGUAACCUGCCUGUAAGACUGGGAUAACUCCGGGAAACCGGGGCUAAUACCGGAUGCUUGAUUGAACCGCAUGGUUCAAUCAUAAAAGGUGGCUUUUAGCUACCACUUACAGAUGGACCCGCGGCGCAUUAGCUAGUUGGUGAGGUAACGGCUCACCAAGGCGACGAUGCGUAGCCGACCUGAGAGGGUGAUCGGCCACACUGGGACUGAGACACGGCCCAGACUCCUACGGGAGGCAGCAGUAGGGAAUCUUCCGCAAUGGACGAAAGUCUGACGGAGCAACGCCGCGUGAGUGAUGAAGGUUUUCGGAUCGUAAAACUCUGUUGUUAGGGAAGAACAAGUACCGUUCGAAUAGGGCGGCACCUUGACGGUACCUAACCAGAAAGCCACGGCUAACUACGUGCCAGCAGCCGCGGUAAUACGUAGGUGGCAAGCGUUGUCCGGAAUUAUUGGGCGUAAAGCGCGCGCAGGCGGUUUCUUAAGUCUGAUGUGAAAGCCCCCGGCUCAACCGGGGAGGGUCAUUGGAAACUGGGGAACUUGAGUGCAGAAGAGGAGAGUGGAAUUCCACGUGUAGCGGUGAAAUGCGUAGAGAUGUGGAGGAACACCAGUGGCGAAGGCGACUCUCUGGUCUGUAACUGACGCUGAGGCGCGAAAGCGUGGGGAGCGAACAGGAUUAGAUACCCUGGUAGUCCACGCCGUAAACGAUGAGUGCUAAGUGUUAGAGGGUUUCCGCCCUUUAGUGCUGCAGCAAACGCAUUAAGCACUCCGCCUGGGGAGUACGGUCGCAAGACUGAAACUCAAAGGAAUUGACGGGGGCCCGCACAAGCGGUGGAGCAUGUGGUUUAAUUCGAAGCAACGCGAAGAACCUUACCAGGUCUUGACAUCCUCUGACAACCCUAGAGAUAGGGCUUCCCCUUCGGGGGCAGAGUGACAGGUGGUGCAUGGUUGUCGUCAGCUCGUGUCGUGAGAUGUUGGGUUAAGUCCCGCAACGAGCGCAACCCUUGAUCUUAGUUGCCAGCAUUCAGUUGGGCACUCUAAGGUGACUGCCGGUGACAAACCGGAGGAAGGUGGGGAUGACGUCAAAUCAUCAUGCCCCUUAUGACCUGGGCUACACACGUGCUACAAUGGGCAGAACAAAGGGCAGCGAAGCCGCGAGGCUAAGCCAAUCCCACAAAUCUGUU
rnacentral:rRNA from 1 species